rnacentral:lncRNA from 1 species
ACAUGUCUGUAGUCCCAGUUACUCGGGAGACUGAGCCAGUGUCCACAUCUGUGAAAUGGGUGGAAGGCUGGUGUGAGAAAUGAGAAUACGCAUCAAGUUCCUGUUCACACUAAGUUCUCAAAAAACGAGGUCCUUCUCCUUUUCUCAUCUCUAGAAUACGCUGUUACUCUCUGGAUGAAGUAGGUGAUUCCUGAAUGGUGUCAGAGCAGUUUGCACUAUCAUGUGCCAGUGUGCAGCAGUUUAAUCUGUAGAAGCCACUGGAAGCCUUAUGACCCGAGGCUGAAAACUGAGGGUGAGAAUUGCCUUGUUCUUCCUUGUACUCCCACUGCACAUGGUGCUUUGUACCCACAGAGUGCUAAGUUUUGUUGGAACAAGAAAUGAGAUUUCUCCAAUGCUACUCAAGUUCACUGGAGGGCACAGCUGCUCCUCAGAAGCCCUCACCCACAGACACAUAAGCUACUGCCCUUAGGCUGCUGCCCUGGGGUCUCCAAGCCAAAGUGCUCCUCAGCCCUCCAUGGCAUCUGCCCCUCUGUCCAAUGUCAGGCAGAGGCUCCCAGGGAUGGGAAAUAGGAGGGGCUCCUAAUAGUGACAGUGGCUGAAGAACUCCAGGGUGGUUUUGAGAAUGCAAUGGCAGCCUUAGCCACUGGAGGAGGACUAACCAGAAAGAGUGAGGAAGAGUCCAGGCCUGGCCUCAGACAGGCCGCAGUGCUCAGCCUUCCUUUUACCCUGAUGAGUGUUCUCCCAGUGUCAGGAAGAGGGCAGAACUCUCUGUCAGGUCUUUGAGUCAACUGAAUUGAGGAAGGAGGGCUGGACACCAGCCAGAGCCCCCAGGUAAGCGCUGGCAUCAGCACGACACAGGACUCAGAGAGCACAGAGUUAACACGCUCCUGCCGAGUCCCAAAGAGUCACGAGUGUGAAAAUGCCGAGUGUGGGCACGCAGCCCUAGCCAGAGCCCUGCCUGGUGAGGCUGCUCUUAUAAUUUGGGAAUCUGCUCAAUUUUCUAAAAGAAAGCUCUGUUCUACUACACUCAGCAUCAAGGGACAGCUCGGCUGUUUAUUAAGUCAGUAGAAAAAUGACUGUACAGGUUUAAG